AUGGCUCAGAUUCUGUUUCUGCAAAAGAAUGUUGAUGAAGCUUUGGGCGGAGUUUAUGGAGAGUGCUAUGGCUGGAUCCACCUCGCUUUCCACUCCGAAGGUGUGGUUAACAGUUUGAUGCAACAGGUUGCUGAUGAUUAUGGACUUGAGGUGUCGGUUGGGCUUCCUCAGCCUGCUGCUCAUGCUGUUCCGCUUAAGGAUAAGGAUGUUGAGAAGGUUGAUGAGGAUGAUUUGUCGAGGCGGCUUGCGGAGCUUAAAGCUAGAGGUUAA